AAUCCAAUGUUUUUUUGAUGUUCUGUGUGAAACCUGGAAAUGUCCCAAAUACUAUACUGCAUUCACUAAGGUUCAAUAUGAGGCUGCGCGACUGCUUGUUUAUUUUCUUUCACUUUAACGCAUUUUGGGCGUUUGCGCUUCCCGUACCUUAGAGCUAGUCUAUCCCUGUUUGAGACGUACGUAAGCAGUCGAGUUUGCAGUAAAGAUUUUAUGGAUUAUUUGUUUCUAUUGUGAAUGCAGGUAUGUGGUUUGUACAAAAUGUAAAUGGUUAAGAACGUGUGUGUAUAUAUAUAUUGCAAGUGUUCAAACUAUACGAUCAUUCAGUGUGCUAUGCCAGUGUUGUCUGUCUUUUUGUUUGGUUUAUUUAGUCCUUUGGUUUGCACGAAGAUUUACGAGCCGUGCAUUCUGAUUUCCAUAUAAUUUAGAAUGCUUUGCAACGCAUGAGGUUAGCCAGUAAGGCAGUGUUUGCGCUACCCGUACCUUAGAGCUAGUCUAUCCCUGUUUGAGACGUACGUAAGCAGUCGAGUUUGCAGUAAAGAUUUUAUGGAUUAUUUGUUUCUAUUGUGAAUGCAGACAAUAAAAGCCACUGUGAAGAA